rnacentral:rRNA from 1 species
UGCCUUGAACGUGCCACCCUGAACGUGCCUGAUCGCAUCGGAUCUUGGAAACUAAGUAAGGUCGGGCCUGGUUAGUACUUGGAUAGGAGACCACCUAGGAAAACCAGGCUGUAGGCAU